rnacentral:tRNA from 6 species
GCGCCCGUAGCUCAGCUGGAUAGAGCGUCGGACUUCGAAUCCGUAGGCCGGGGGUUCGAAUCCCUCCGGGCGCGCCA